rnacentral:rRNA from 1 species
ACGUAGGAGGCGAGCGUUAUCCGGAUUUACUGGGUGUAAAGCGCGUGCAGGCGGCGGCGCAAGUCGUGUGUGGAAGCUCCCGGCUCAACCGGGAGAGGACGGACGAGACAGGGCAGCUAGAGGCAGGUAGAGGUGUGUGGAAUUCCGGGUGUAGUGGUGGAAUGCGUAGAGAUCCGGAGGAACACCAGAGGCGAAGGCGACACCCUGGGCCGUACCUGACGCUAAGACGCGACAGCACGGGGAGCGAACGG